ensembl:lncRNA
GCUACAUCAUGCCGUUUUAUUCAAACCUUUUUUGAAACAGAACAUCAAUCCCUUUCAGAUGAUAAUUAAUUAAGACACUUGAUGGUCCCUAGAGGUAGCCAGACACCCACAGAAACUUGAUAAUCAGUUCAGAAUACUGACAGAUGCAGUGUGCAUUCCAGAAUUCUCCUGACUCAAGGUUUGCCAAUGGAGACAAGAGGGGCAGGGACUGGAGAGGGACUAACGUGGGCCUGGAGAGCUGCCAUGCCUCAGGCAGCUGCAGGGACCUCUUCAUACAUGUGGGCAUUUUAGCCUCCCAACACUGUAAGAGGGGUGGAAUUAUCUCUAUUUUACAAAUUGAGGCCACUGGGAGUCUCAGACUGGGCCAAGUCUUCAGCACAGUGGCAUUUCAGGGGGUGAUAAGUCUGUAUCACAGAAAUAAUCACAUUCCCAUCAGCUGAAGUCAGGGUGGGGAUUUGUCCUGUGUGUGUGUGUGUAUGUGUGUGUGUCUGACCCUUUGUGACCCAAUAGACUAUAGCCUGCCCAGCUCCUCUGUCCAUAUGCUGUCUUAAAAACAUGCUUUGCCUGUGGUUUGACCAGUCCUUGACCAGCAUGGCAAGUGGAGUGAAAUGUGUUUAUCCUGGGAUGAAUCACGGGAGAGGGUGAGGAAGGGUCUGCAGAGUCAGGGCCUGGGACUGGAUAGAGGCCAAGCUGUAGAGGACCUUCCUCAAGCUGCUGAGGCCAGAGUUCCCUGCCAGUGGGUAGCUGAUCCAGAUCCCAGGCUCUCUCGUCAGUGAAGGCAUCUCUGCCAGCAGAUCUCCGUGUCUUCAAGGUUGAAUAAGAGAGGCAGAAGGAGACCUGACCCAGAGGUGACAAUGUGACCAGGGAGGCGAGCUCGGAAGGACGCAGCACAAGCCAAGGAGUGCAGGCAGCCCCCGAAGCUGGAAGAGGCAAGGAUCAGACUCCGUCCUAGAACCUCCAGCAGAAGUGUCGCCUUGCUGACGUCCUGGUUUCAGAUGUCUGGCCUCCAGACCUGUGAGAGAAUGGACGUCUGCUGCUUUAUGCCGCUGAGUUUGUGGCAUUUUCUUACAGCAGCAACAGGAAGCGGAUACAAGCCGCCUGAUCUCAGUUCUGCCCCUAAUUUAGUCGUCGUCAUCAUCCAACGAUUGUAACAGCCCCAGCACCAGAGGGCCUUCUGCCUGCCCCACAGCCUUACCCUCCACACACAGACUGAUGGGUAAUUCCUUCCUGAAUUCCCGCAGCACAGAGUCCACAUUUGUUAGCCUGAAGCACAGCGCUUUUCCUGACAUGGCCCCUGAGUACUUCUCCUCCCUUAUUUCUCACCACUUGGCCCCAUCGCUUUUGCUCCAGCUGUCUCAACCUCCCUGCAGUUUUCAACUGUUACAUGUUCUCUCAAACUUCUGAGGCUUUGCACAUGCUGUCCCCUUUGCCUGGAACACUCUUCCUCACCCCAGAUAUCUGCAUGGCUUGUUUUCUCAUUGACUUCGGGUCUUUGCCCCCAAAGAACUUCCUUGAUGAUAGAUUUCAAAGCACAACCCCCUCUUCACCUUCGCAUUUCCGAUUCCCUUGCCCUACCCCGUUUUCCCCCCAUGGUACUUAUCACUGCCUAUGUAUUUAACGUAUUUGUUCAUUGUCUGUUGCCCCUGAUUAGAAUUAAAUUUCACAGGAGCAGGGAAUUUAAACUGGGUGGCUUAAACAAUAAACAUUUACUUCUCACAGUUCUGGAGGCGCCGGCAUGCAGAGUCAAUGCCUGCUGAGAACUUUGAGCUCUUCAUCCCCUUAUAAGGGCACCAAUCCCAUCCUAGGGGCUCCACCCCAUGACCUCAUUCAAAGCUAGUCACCUCCCAAAGGUCCCACUUCCAAACACCAUCACACUGGUUUCAACAUAUGCAUCUGGGGGGAUACAAGCAUUCAGUCCACAGCAAGAGGAUUUGGGGGUGAUUUGGAAGGUCUCCUGGGAUUUUCAGCCCCUUGUAAUCCUUGAGAGCAAAGAUUCCUCUCCUUUCUGAGCCAUGGAUCUCUUCACUGAGCAAAUCUUUUGAAUGCAUAAGAUGCAUUAUAUUACAAAGGAUUCUAAUUAUUUUGAACUGCAGUUAUCAAAAUAUUAAAAGAAGACAUUUUGAUAUAGUAAUAAAUGUGUUUCUUUAUUAAUGAAUUGAAUACCAAGAGCUAGGGACGGAUCUAAUUAGUACCAUAAUUUUGAAGUGGUGAUGAGCAUAAGUGAUCUUCCAAGACAGCAGCAGCAACAGCAAUGUGAUAUGAAAAUAUCUGUGAUUUCUCUUAGUGACAAACACUCACAGGCACUGCAAACACUGUGGUUUGCCAUUGGUCUUCACAAGGGAAGGAAAUGGUGAAUUUCAGUAAGAGGUGAGUAAAGAGAAAGACAAUUUCUUUUUUUAACAUCCAAACCAGCCCUCUCCAUUAAGAUCCCCUGUCAUUAAUGGAGUUAGAGGUGAGCUGGGAAGAGCUUGGACCCCAUGAUUUUUCAGUGUGGAGAGAUGCUUCUGACAAGUGUACCCGUCUGGCUAAAAUGGGGGCUCCCAGGGGCAGCCUCUUCAACAAGC